AGAGUUUGAUCCUGGCUCAGGACGAACGCUGGCGGCGCGCCUAACACAUGCAAGUCGAACGAGCGAGAGAGAGCUUGCUUUCUCGAGCGAGUGGCGAACGGGUGAGUAACGCGUGAGGAACCUGCCUCAAAGAGGGGGACAACAGUUGGAAACGACUGCUAAUACCGCAUAAGCCCACGGCUCGGCAUCGAGCAGAGGGAAAAGGAGCAAUCCGCUUUGAGAUGGCCUCGCGUCCGAUUAGCUAGUUGGUGAGGUAACGGCCCACCAAGGCGACGAUCGGUAGCCGGACUGAGAGGUUGAACGGCCACAUUGGGACUGAGACACGGCCCAGACUCCUACGGGAGGCAGCAGUGGGGAAUAUUGCACAAUGGGGGAAACCCUGAUGCAGCGACGCCGCGUGGAGGAAGAAGGUCUUCGGAUUGUAAACUCCUGUUGUUGAGGAAGAUAAUGACGGUACUCAACAAGGAAGUGACGGCUAACUACGUGCCAGCAGCCGCGGUAAAACGUAGGUCACAAGCGUUGUCCGGAAUUACUGGGUGUAAAGGGAGCGCAGGCGGGAAGACAAGUUGGAAGUGAAAUCCAUGGGCUCAACCCAUGAACUGCUUUCAAAACUGUUUUUCUUGAGUAGUGCAGAGGUAGGCGGAAUUCCCGGUGUAGCGGUGGAAUGCGUAGAUAUCGGGAGGAACACCAGUGGCGAAGGCGGCCUACUGGGCACCAACUGACGCUGAGGCUCGAAAGUGUGGGUAGCAAACAGGAUUAGAUACCCUGGUAGUCCACACUGUAAACGAUGAUUACUAGGUGUUGGAGGAUUGACCCCUUCAGUGCCGCAGUUAACACAAUAAGUAAUCCACCUGGGGAGUACGACCGCAAGGUUGAAACUCAAAGGAAUUGACGGGGGCCCGCACAAGCAGUGGAGUAUGUGGUUUAAUUCGACGCAACGCGAAGAACCUUACCAAGUCUUGACAUCCUGCGACGGUGCUGGAAACAGUACUUUCCUUCGGGACGCAGAGACAGGUGGUGCAUGGUUGUCGUCAGCUCGUGUCGUGAGAUGUUGGGUUAAGUCCCGCAACGAGCGCAACCCUUAUGGUCAGUUACUACGUAAGAGGACUCUGGCCAGACUGCCGUUGACAAAACGGAGGAAGGUGGGGAUGACGUCAAAUCAUCAUGCCCUUUAUGACUUGGGCUACACACGUACUACAAUGGCGUUAAACAAAGAGAAGCAAGACCGCGAGGUGGAGCAAAACUCAGAAACAACGUCCCAGUUCGGACUGCAGGCUGCAACUCGCCUGCACGAAGUCGGAAUUGCUAGUAAUCGCAGAUCAGCAUGCUGCGGUGAAUACGUUCCCGGGCCUUGCACUCACCGCCCGUCA
rnacentral:rRNA from 1 species